AAAAAACAAAAACAAAUUUUUAUCACGUCGGUAAGGAGAUUUCACAUGUUAGAGCAGGCACAUUGACUCCCUAUGAUACAAAUUAUAAUAUAUUCCAAUAUUAGUGAAAGGCCUAAACUCAAGUCCAGCUUCUUAUGAUUAUGCUAAUAUAUGCUCAUUCUGACAAAGAAUAAGGUGCCUAGCCAAAACGAUACUAUCAAAUAAUGACCUGGAUUAAAACAAUUAUAUCCCACAUUUAUUGGUUCAUUUUUCUCUAGUUGCUAUUUUUGUUUUGACCAAUGAUAUCUCUUCACAUUGUGAUAAGAAACUUUUCAGCAUGAAUGCUGCUUACAAAGAAACACAACAGCUUUAUUUGCUAGUCUACUUGUGUUUAUUGUUUUAUAAUGUAUCCAGAAACUUCUCGGGGUUAAAUCUCUUCUAAACAGUUGGCUCUUUAAAAUGUAUUCCUUGCAUUCUUAGUUGAGCAUUAGACUAAAAUAUCAUCAGUUAAGAUACCCCUUCCAAGUAAUUUUUUGAUGUAUUUGAUCAACAAGCACAUAGAAGUCCUAAGGCAACAACCACAGAUGUAGGACUCAUUUCAUUUACCCAAACAUUUUGUAAUAAUUUCAGUAUGAUUAGUCAACCACUUAGGG
rnacentral:lncRNA from 1 species